rnacentral:rRNA from 1 species
CAGCAGCCGCGGGAACACGAAGGGUGCAAGCGCUAAUCGGAAUUACUGGGCGUAAAGCGUGCGCAGGCGGUUAUAUAAGACAGUUGUGAAAUCCCCGGGCUCAACCUGGGAACUGCAUCUGUGACUGUAUAGCUAGAGUACGGUAGAGGGGGAUGGAAUUCCGCGUGUAGCAGUGAAAUGCGUAGAUAUGCGGAGGAACACCGAUGGCGAAGGCAAUCCCCUGGACCUGUACUGACGCUCAUGCACGAAAGCGUGGGGAGCAAACAGGAUUAGAUACCCCAGUAGUCCCUGUCUCUUAUAC